CUUUCAAAAAUGUCUUUUAAUAAAUUGAGUAACUGUGGCAUUGAUGCCUACACAGUUGGAUGGGUUAGAAAUUGGCUGAUGGGGCGCACCCAGAGAGUGGUGGUGGAUGGGUUGUACUCGACCUGGUGGGAUGUAAAUAGUGGGGUCCCCCAGGGCUCGGUCCUGGGGCCUACACUGUUCAACAUCUUUAUCAGCGACUUGAACGAGGGGGUGGAAAACACAUUGUCCAAGUUUGCCGAUGACACCAAGAUAUGGGGAGAGGCAGGCACACUCAAAGGGAGAGAGAGGUUGCAAUUAGAUUUAGAUAGACUACAGAAGUGGGCGGAUGGUAAUAGGAUGUGCUUCAAUGUGGAUAAGUGCAGGGUGCUGCACCUGGGGAGAAGGAAUCCACAGCAUACAUACAAGCUGGGGAGUUCCCUCCUUGUGAGCACAGAGGCAGAAAGGGAUCUUGGCAUCAUUAUUGACUCCAAGAUGAACAUGAGCUGCCAAUGCCAGGCCACAGCCAGCAAAGCCAACCGCACCUUAUCGUGCAUCCAAAGAUGCAUCUCAAGCCAAUCCAGAGAGGUGAUACUCCCCGUCUACGCAACAUUGGUCCGGCCUCAAUUGGAGUACUGCGUCCAGUUCUGGGAACCACACUUUAAGAAGGAUGUGGCCUGCCUUGAGAGGUUUCAGAGGAGGGCCACCCGCUUGGUUGGAGGGCAACAGGGCAGGCUCUAUGAGGAGAGGCUGAGGGACCUGAACCUUUUCAGCCUCAGCAAAUGGAGGCUGAGGGGGGAUUUGGUGGCUGCCUACAAACUUGUCAGGAGAGAUCAGCAGCAAAUAGGAAGGGUCUUAUUCCCCCCAGCAGCAGCUGGGGUAACGAGGAACAAUGUCCAGAAGCUGCUGGAGAAUAGGUUCAGGUUAGAGAUUAGGAGGCACUAUUUCACUGUUAGGGUGGCUAGGAUCUGGAACCAACUUCCUAAGGAAGUGGUCCUCACUCCUACCUUGGGUAAAUUCAAAAAGAGGUUGGAUGAGCACCUGUCUGGGGUCGUGUGAUACCAGCAUGUGCUCUGGCCAGUGGCAGGGGGUCAGACUAGAUGAUCUAUUUAGGUCCCUUCUGACCCCUAACUACUAUGAAACUAUGAAAAACAAGGUGCAUAUUUUAUGUUGAGGUGUGUUGCAUGAGAAACAUGGUAUGUUCUUGUUAUUGCUCUUCCUUUUCUCCUUGUUUUUGUUCUUCUCCUUGUUCUCCUUAUUCUUGUUCUUGUGUGACAGGCUAGCUGGCAAUGACAGCCCAGGGGCUUUAAAGGGGCAAAAGUUGAUUGGAGGACUUGGGAUUCCCUUUCCUCACCAAUCAGGCCCCAGAGACUGACCCUCCAUGUCGCCUGAUUGGCCCCUUGGGUCACCUGGAGGGGGAUGAAAGGGGAAGCACGGCUGACUCAGGGGAGACCAGUGAGGGACCACAAGGAAGGAGCUUCAAAGAGCUGGCAAGAGCUAGGCCAGCAGGGUGGAAGCAGUUGCCCCAGAAGACCCUGAAGGAGUGGGACCUGCAGGCAGCAGUUGGACCCUCAGCAGCACAGCGUGUGGCUGGCAGGAGAGGCUUCCCGCUGGGCUCCAGGAUCCCUUAUGGGAGGCUGUGGCCAGCAGGAGAGGCUCCCCAGCUCCAGCAAGGAUUUGAGCAGUGACCUGAGAAGUUCCCAGCUCUGCUUCCAGCUCCUCCAAUAAGAGGCCAGGAAGCUUGACAUGAAGCUGGGGCUCCUGGAAGGUCAAGACCCCUUGCAGCUUAAAGCAGUGCUAGCACUGGUGGUUGUAUGGUAUUGUUUCUGCCUACCAUGUAGGAGAUCUGAGGUCAAGUCCCAGCUGGGGUGACUUGGUGUGAGUGAAGUAACAGGGAGAAAUCCUUGUUGCAGUGGAAAGGGGCCAUUGUGUUUUCCCUCUUUCCCCACCUCCAGGUACCUAGGCCCUAUAUUCUUUGUUGUUUGACAUUUUGUAUUUUAUUCCUUUUCACCAACCUGUAUUGUUUGUUGUGCUGUUUGUGUUUUAUAUUUUGUUAACCCUGUCUUUUGUCAAUGAUUGUAAGUGUCUAACCUGUGUUGAGUCCUGCCCCCUUGGGGCAUUGUAGUGUUCCCUAUACCCCCUGGUUUAUGCUUGUUAUGUUCCCAGUACUGUUCAUUCAUUAAAAGGUAUAUGGUUAAGGCCCCAUUGAUGGUCUUGCUCUGCUCUAUAGGGAGAAGAGAGUCCCUACACCUCCCACAGCACUUGUGCACCUGCUUUGAUCCCUUCAAUUGGAGAGGGGGUACCUCUUGGAGUACCGCCUGGGUUACACUUGUUUGUCUUAUUCUUAUUUUUCUUCUUGUUCUUCUUUUUCUCUUUCUCCUUCUACUUGUUCUCCUCAUUCUUCUCCUUGUUCUUGUCCUUGUUGUCCUCAUUCUUCUCUUCCUCCUUCUCCAUGUUCUUUUCCUUGUUCUCCUUCUCCUUGUUCUCCUCAUUUUCCUUCUCCUUGUUCUUGUUAUCCAUGUUCUUGUUUUUCUUGUUCUCCUUGAUCUUCUCUUCAUUCUUCUCAUUCUCCUCUCCUCCUCCUUCUUCUUGGUGUCUUCUUUCUUCUUGUCCUUACCCUUCUGCAUUCCAUUCCAAACCAAAAUCAUGCCUUUCCCAUCCUUUUUGGGUCAUCACGGUGACAGCAUCCUUCCUAGGCUUUCCAAGUCAAGACACCUCUUAUAUUUGCAGGCCACCAUGGAGGCUGAGGACCUGCGCCUGGCCCUGGAGCGGCAGCGGGAUGAGAAUCAGGAGCUGGUGGAGACACUCCUGCAGCUGGAGAAGGAGCACGGGCAGCUCCAGAGGGACCAGAGCCAGCUCAAGGAGGAAGUGGCUAGGCUGCAGCACACCCAGACAAUGUCAGAGGAGCCUGAUGGGAUCCUGGAGGAGCUCAGUGCCCUUCAGACCAGCCUGGCUGAGAGGGAGCAGGAGAUCAAAGUCCUCAAGCAGCAGAGGCAGUGUCUCGAGGCUGAGAAGCAAGAGCUGAGAUGCUGCAUCCAGGAGCUGAUGACAGAGAACCUGGGUCUGACCAAAGGCAAUUUCCGGACCCACCAGCAGCUUUUGGAAGCGGAACGAGCCCUCAAGCAGCUGAAGGUCGACCUGCAACAAGCCAAGGAUGAAUGGGACAAGAGGGAGAAGGAACUGGAUAAGGAGCAGCACCGGUCAGCUGAACUGGAGGAGAUCCUUCGGGAGCAUGCAGAGAUCAAGGAGGUUCUGCAGGGCAAGAUCAACCAACUGCAGGAUGAACUGGAGGACUCUGAGCAGCAGAAGGCACUGAGAACAAGCUGGUAUCUAAGAGACGUGGCAUCACCUACUGGUUGUGGCUUGAUUACAUCAUAACACCAGUGGCUGCAGAGCUCCUGCAAAAGGCACAAUCCCCCGGGGUGCCGGGGUGAAGUGUUAAAAAAGCAGCAACACCAACCACACACGCAGUCCCUGCCACCCUGCUUGGUGCAAACAGGUGAGAGGCUGCUGCUGGGAGACGGGCCAAAUGGAGAACAAGGAUGAAGUAUGCAACAUGAUGGAGGACACGGAGUAUGAGGAGCAGGAAGAGGAGGAGGAAGAAGAGGACGCAUUGCUGGAAAUGCUGUUUUAGGGUAGAAUGCUGCAGGAAGUCUUCACCAGGAAUACUACACUACACUUUUCAGUAGCAAGUUGUGUGAUUCCGGCUUUAAAAGCACAAACUAGAAGAUACACAGUAUACACAGGGGAGCAAAGUGAACAAGUGGAAUCUGACUGGGCUCUGUUGAUAAACCUCAGGAGGACCAGCAGAAUCCACACGGUGUGGGCUCGUGAGAGCAGCUCUGACUGGUGGGAGCAAAUUGUCCUGAACACUUGAAACGACCAGCAGUGGUUGGAGCUGUUCUGAAUUAAAAGGGAGACUUUCUACCAUAUCGUCUCGAUGCUGGGCCCACACAUCAUGAGGCAGGACACAAACAUGUGUCGGGCCAUCCAGGGUUGCAAUGGCCAUCGUGAAGCGAGCCAGCCCAUCCAGCCUCCACUACAUUGCCAACCAGUUUGGCGUGGCUGCCUGCAUGGUGGGACAGGUGACUCAUGAGGUAUGCCAGCUGCUUAUGGACAUAGUUUCUAACAAAGUUAUCCUCAUGGCAAAUCCACAGCAAGUGAUGGAUGGCUUUAUUGAGAAGGCGUUCCCAAACUGCAUGGGGGAUUUACACAGCAUUCACAUCGCAGUGCUGUGCCCUGCGGUGAGUGGGAGGCUUUACAUUAACAGGAAAAGAUAUGCAUCCAUGAUCCUGCUAGCCUUGGUGGACCACUGGGGCUGGUUCAUGAACAUUUUUACAGGAGGGGGCUGGCAGCACUCAUGAUGCACGGGUGUUCCGAAACUCCCCUCUGGCUGACAUCGUGGAGAAACGAGGCUACGCACCCAGUGUGGAGGAGAGAGUGAUCUGAGGUGUCACUGUUCCCCUCAUCAUAUUAGCAGACACUGCCUACCCCCUAAAGCCCUGGCUUAUGACGCCUUAUAGAGGGAAUGUCACGAAAAUGCGGAAGCUGUUUUUUAACUACCACCUCAGCAGUUGCAGGAUGGCCGUGGAAUGUGCAUUUGGCUGACUGAAAGGACGAUGGAGGGCGCUUACGUGCCGGCUCAAAAUGGAGGAAGAAAAUCUAAUACCCUUUAUUGUGGCAGCCUGUGUGCUGCACGAUAUCUGAGAGAGCCAAGGAGGGGUUUUCAAGGACUCGUGGGAACAAGAAGCAUGCCAGGCGGUGGAAAGACAAGAGACAUGGAGUAGCAGCACAGGGACUGAGGAGAUAUCCUCAAGGAGAGGCUGGUUGGGUGGCCCUUGUGUGAGAUUUUCUUGUAUGACACAUUGCUGAGAACAACCGCUAGGGAGUGCUUUGUUUCAAAUUAAAUUAUUUUUUCUUUUACACUUUAAAAAUCGGUGUUUGUCUACAGUGGUUUGUGGGAGGAGGGAAUUAUGCACCGUCAUCCACAUCUGAAUGAGCCUAUUCCUCUUGGCGGGCUAGGUGGCAGGGGGAGGGGGGGCACGCCAAACAGCAAGCCACUGUUUGAAAAAACAUUCCAAAAACAUUCAUAAAACAAUUCACACUACACCACCAAAAGCCACAGUACUUGGGCAGGCAAUGGGAGGGUUCCAAUGGGAAACUGGUUUUGGGGAGGGGGACAUUACGCACCGUCACUCACAUCUGAAUGAGCACCCACCCCAUUCCUCUUGACGGGCUAGGCAGGGCGGAGUGGGGGGGAGAAAGAUGAACAGCAAACUGCUGUUUGAGAAAAACAUUCCAAAAACAUUUAUAAAAAAUAUUCACAACACAGCUACAAACAGCUGUAUGUGCACUACAGAAACAGAUGGUGCACCUGGCCCAGGAACUGGAAGCUUUUCCAUUGGAAACUGUAAAGAAGAUCAAUGAGGUCAGGAAUGCUGGGAAAUGUAUGCCAAAAAGAACCGGGGGAAAAAAGACAGAAGACCACCAACAUAUAUAUAGGCAGCAACUGCCUAUCAACUGGGCAGCAACAGACACCCACCCACCCACCCACUACUCUUAUGAUAGGCAGUUAUUAAGCUGCUAUAUUAAUGAAAAAUUCCAUGGUGGAAUGGAAAGGGAAAAGGAAAGGAACCAAAGGGAGGGAAGGAUUCACUCGUGCAGCUUGUCUUUUGGGACUGGGACGGGCUCCUUCUGAUUGUUUACUGAUGGAGAGAGAUACCAGACUGAAUGAGUAUAGGUGGGUGCAAGUGACAAGGAUUUUGGGGUGACCAUGACUGUGACCAGGGGAGACUGUCAGAGAGUCAGGACUGCCCAAUGACAGUCCAGACCCAGGGUGUGCCUCCUGGUGUAAUGCAUUAGGAUUUUAAACUUCAUUGCAGAACUACAAGGAAGUUUUUUUACCUCCCUGCCAGCCAGCCAUCUGACACCUCCAGGGAAGGAAUUUUACCUGAUCAACACAUCAAAGAUCUACUCAACACAGCUCACAAAGACACUCUCAUGGACCCAGAGGGACAGACUUCCAUUUUCAGCUCCCUCCGUACAAAAAUGAAGUUUAUUUCCUACCUAUGGGGACUUUUUACCAUCUUGUACCAUCUACAUUUUUCCCAGAGCCUGACAAAGGGACUUUGAUCCCGAAAGCUUGCAGAAAAGGACAAUUUUCUUGCCAUUUUCCAGUUGGUCUAAUAAAAGGUAUCAUUUUGGAACCAAGAGUUCUAGUUUUUUGAAUGCAUUAGGAAAGACAUUCUAGGGGGUAAAUUGGUAUUUGACUCCCUCUACUGAUAUCUACAGGGAAUGACACACAGGAGCUUAACUUGCUCGAAAGUGCCAUGCGUGCAAAAUGAAUGCUGUGUUGUGCAAACAGAACUGCACUACACCAAAAAAAAGCUACAUUUAAAUUCUGUGGCAGUCCAUAUUAAAUUCUGUGUCAUGUACAGACAGCCAAUGUUACCAGAUAACAUACAUAAAUUACUGGCACAAUGGCAAGGUCCCUUUCAGGUAACAAGGAAGGUGGGUCCAGUUAAUUAUGAAGUACUCAGGACCAGACUGGUCUGCAGGAAACAGAUUUAUCACAUUAACCUAUUAAAGAAGUGGCACCCACAAGAAGGGUGGCCGAUGCAGAGGAAUGGGGACCUAGAUGACCUAGGGGGACCGGAGAUAUCCCAGGGAGUGGGGGAACAGCCAAAGGUAGAAGGAACACUAAAAAGGGAACAAGAGAGGUUAAAAGAGAUCAUAAAAGAGUUGCAAGAUGUAGUUAACAAAAUACCCAGAGAAGCAUGAGGUACAGAACAUAAGAUAAAGACCCCAGAAGGCUGUGAGGUCCGCAAACAAUGGAGGCACUUACCCCGACUUCAGUGGGAUGCUGUCAAGAAAGAGAUAGAAGAAAUGUAACAACUGGGGAUGAUCGAAGAGUCCUGGAGUCCUUGGAGAAGCCCACUGGUGAUAGUGACAAAACCCGACUGUGAGCUAAGACUGUAGAUUCUCGCAAGGUAAAUGAAGUGGCAGUCUUUUAUGCCUUCCCCAUGCUGUGGAUAGAGGACAUGCUGGAACAGAUUGGCACAACUAAAUAUAUAUCGACCAGAGAUCUCACCAAGGGGUACUGGCGAUACCCAUAGCAGCCAGUGAUCAGGAGAAAACAGCGUUUGGCACCCCACGUGGGCUAUUUCACUUCAAAAGAGUGCCUUUCAGACUCCACGAAGCCACAGCCUUGUUCCAACAGCUAAUGGACAAAAUUCUUGCACCCCAUCAAAAAUAUGCCUCGGUAUAUAGAUGAUAUUAUAGUCUUCUCAGAAGAAUGGGAGCAAUACUGCCAACACCUGUGGGCAGUCUUUGCUGAGCUACAUAGAAACAGGCUAACAGCUAACCCGAAGAAGUGUUCCCUAGAGAAAAGGGAAACCCAGUAUCUGGGGUUUAUAGUCAGUCAGGGCAAGAUACGAGUGGUGGCAGAUAAGGUAGAAGUGAUCUGAUUCAGCUGAUUUGGCUGUGACUGAAUUUCCGAAUCAGAUUCGGCUGAAUCAAUUCGGGACAGUGAACUGUAUCACCAAAUCGAAUCACUGAUCUCCAAAGUGAAUUGCACAUGCACACUUUGCACAGGCCUAAUGUAAGUAGAUAAGAAAAUAAAUAUUGCCUGUAUUUAAAUUUUCCCCAAAAUUACCAUUUCCUGCCCCCCCCAUGGGAAAAAAAAAAAUUUUUCCCCAUGGCCUCAACAUUUCUGGAAAUUUUACAUCUCUAGUUUUAAUGUUUGGGAAGAGGGGGCCAUGGCAUCACUGCACCUCCCCCCUCCCCCCCAUGCUUCCCAGAUCCACCCCUGACUGGAAUGAAACAAUAGAUGAUGUAGGCAAGUCUCAAGGUCAGCUUCCUUCAGCACUGAUAUGCCACUUCCAUGGGUGUCUCCAUGUGUGUGAUUAACAUGUUAAAAAAAAAACAAGAACCAAUUAAUUCAUUAAUCAUGCAUGUUAACAGUGAUUGAUAGACAGCCCUGAAAACAAAAAGCUGGGGGAAGGGGAUAUGUGGAAGGGCAGAGGGGGAAGAGGACGGUGGCAUGGCCAGACGCAGGAUGUCGCAAAGUGUGUGUGUGGGGGGGGGAAAAGAGGCAGAUUGACAUCCUGUCUCACACUACACUGUUUUUCUUCAGAGAAACAGAAACUAGAAGCUUUGGGUGCUUGUACACAUGAUGAUGUUGCCAUGUACACAUGACAAAAAUUCCUCUUUGUGUGGCUUAACAGCAUCACAUUUUCAUGUAGUCGAGUUUUGGGGGUUUUAAAUUAGUUAUCAUAGUUACAAACUAAACCAUAUCCUAAUGUAAUUUAGUUUGUUACUGUGGAAGUCCCUAUAGAUUGCUCCAUCUAGUGACUUCCACAGUCUAUCUUGACUCUCAUCUGCCAUGUCUUGUUUAAUUCUGAUGUUAUUAGUUGGGAGGUGUUACUGCCGUAGUAAGACACUGGCAAUAUAUCUAGGCUUUCAUUUAUACUACAUCACGAUCUCUCUGGUGUCUCUCUCGACUGACACCCAAGAUCUUAUGUUAUCAAUUGAGUCCAAGUCACAUAUGGGUUGAACAAAUCUCUUUAUUAUUUUUAUAUCCACAACUGUUUCAUGGGUAGAUAGAUUGUGGCUAUUUCAGACUGUUUUUUUAUCAUCCCUCUUUAAACAUUUCCCACAGAACCUUGUCUUAAGUAAUAUACAACCAUGUACGUAUAAAUACUGAUCUAUUUCUUAGUUAUUUAUAUAUAUGUCAUUUUUUUAAACUGACAGGAAAUUUUACGUUCAGGUUCUUUACUAUUUCUUUGUUGAGGUCUUCUUUCCCUAAACUCUUCAGGAUACUCUCUCCUCUUUUUUUUAUUUUGUUCUGGGUGUAUGGGAAUAACCCUAGCUCCGGCUCUCUCUCUUCUCCCACACCCCUAGGACAUCGUUAGUCCACGUUAAUGUCUAAUAGGCUACUCAACACCCCCCCCCCCCCCCGCAAAAAAAACCCAAACUCCACUUGCGAGAAACCUGAAGAGCAUCAAGGCUCUUCCCUUCUCGCUGUUUCGCCGUACACGCCCUUUUUGUUUUUCUCUUGGCGUUCCGCGACUCCAGUUACUUCUCCGGAGGCUCCCUGCUUACCUUCCCAUACAUGCCCUCUCUAGCGUACCGAGUCAACUCCUCCGAUUCCACAGCCAAGCACUCCUCUCCAAGCUCUCCUCCGCGAAGCCUCUCCUCCACUCUCCCUUCCCACACGCUGUACCCUUCUGCCCCAUGCUUUCCAAUCUGCAAGAAACAGCUGCUCUGAAAGCGGUGUUCCCCCUGCUGGCUCUCCAUCCUGGUUUUUUGCAGCUCGUUUUUAUCCAGUCCCUCUUCACAGUUACCUUACAAAUUGCAGCAAUGUGGCCAUAAAUCUGUCAGGUGUACAUGGUAAUUUACUGAAUUCCAUGUACUGAGCCUGAUGAGUACCUCUGAACUUUUCACUAGUUUUUUCCUAGGAACAGCUUUGUAUGUUUUGAAAAAGUAUUUUAUCUAACCAAGGGCAUAGAGUAGGUUGUUUAGGCUGGGGGAGAUCACUUGUUGCUUAGUUGCUUAACUGCUGGCCUCACUAGAAGGAAAAGCUGUAUCAACAAGGUCCCGGGGAAGGUUGGAAGGGGGGUUACUUGGGGGUGGAGUUGGAAAAGCGGGGUUUGCUGGGCUUGCUACACAUUUCAUCACAUCAGCAAGUUUAACCUGUUACGUAGCUAUAUAAGGCUGAUGCCCACUGGGGUGGGUGUGCUUGCUUUGCGAAUGAUUGCCAAGCACCACUUUCUGCGCAGAAAUAAAGAUUAAGUUGGAUCCUUCACCCCUGUGUGUUUAUUGGCACAAGCGCACCGGGCACGAAUUCACUGUCCUUUGGGGACAACAGUUUCUGGCGACCCAGAUGGGACCUUAGCUGACUGCCUUGCCCGGUCCACCUCUUCGGCUCUGGCAACAACUGUGGACGGCACAAGGGCCAGGCGCCACCGACCUUAUUCGUCGGAGGUCUGACCGUCUCCUGGUUGCCUGACAGAGUCGUGGAGGGGCACAACGGCGCAACGCUCGAAGGACCAACUUAAUCAGGUGGGGCAAGGGAGGUUUCAACAGACUGGUAUGUCCAGGAGCGACUUCCACUCCCCUUAGAUACACCAGUCCAUAAGUUCCAGAUCGGAGACGAGGUGUUGGUCCGGACGUGGAAAGACGAGCCGCUUCAUCCCAGGUGGAAGGGACCAUAUCCUGUGAUUCUUACCACUCACGCUGCAGUGAAAGUUCAGGGGGUAAAACCGUGGAUACACUACACCCGGGUGAAGGCCGCACCAGAAGUACCACCUGCAGGAGAAGUUGCUGAGAGUGUCGCACCGGAAGCCCACACAAACGGACACUGUUGGACAGCAGAGCCAGUAAAAGGACUUAAAUUUCUGUUUAAACGUCAACCAUGUGGACAGUAGCUCUUUGCAUAGGCGUAAUGUUUCUAGGGUCUAAGGGGUUGGUGCAUCAAAGGUUCAAUAAGAGUCAAAAUGUAUGGGUUCAUUUGGCAAAGGACAUAUUAAAUGUCACUCAUUUUUGUUUGACAAGUGGAAUAUCGGUUGAUGAUAUUUUCAUGUCAUGCCUUAUAGGGGUGCCCACUCCAUUGGAAGCACUCUGGAAUCAGACUUGGUUCACAUCUGGGGGAAUAGGAGGUCCAAUCAAUUACACUAACAACUCCAUUUGGGGAACGAUUACCACAGAAAAAAACGCUAGUACCUUUGAAAUAGAUUUGUUGACAGUCACCUCCCCUGAUAACACCAGCUGUGCCAAUUUUGUGAACUGUACCCAAGCUUGCAAAAGCCUAACCAAAGAAACGAAAAUUUUCAAUUGCUCAGACGUGACUAAUGUAUCUUGCAACUACGGUCAUGUUGUACUACCCUGGGGAUGGUUCCUCCUUUGUGGGAAGACUGCCUAUUCAUAUAUCCCAGCCAAUGCCACAAGAGGCCCUUGUGCUCUGGGCCAGUUGACUGUCUGGCUACCGGGUAUGCCUAUGACCUCUAGUAAGCGUCACCGGAGAGGUUUGAAAGAACUAAGAAUCCUGUGAUAGUGACGUAAACCUCCUAAGUAAGGCCGAGGUAGUGUCCUUAGCAGUUUCCACAGUAGGGGUGCCAGGCCUAGUGGUGGACGCUGAGAGACAGCUUAGUAAGGUGGCCUGUGCCCUGGCAAAGGGUCUAAAUACAACUUCACAGGCCCUCAAUAUUAAAAUGAAAGAACUAAGAGGAGCUACUCUGCAAAAUAGAGCCGCCAUAGAUUAUUUAUUGCUGAGGCAUAACCACGGAUGUGAAGAGUUUGAGGGAAUGUGUUGUUUUAAUUUGACAGAUAAUUCCGAGUUGAUAGAGUCAAAGGUGCAGAAGUUAAAAGAAGUUCUGUCUCACAUUAAGCAAGGGGAAGGGUUCGACUUCUCAUGGCUUACUCCUUGGCUUCCUAAUUUUUCAUGGCUUAAGCAAAUUUUUCCUAUUGUUGUGGCAAGUAUGUGUAUUUUCUUGAUGAUUUGCUGUGGGGUACAGUGUGUGCCAAUGUGUUGUGAGGUACUCAAGAAAUCAAUUUCUUCCCCCGCUCACCGCGUGAUGUUUGUAAAAUCAUCAGUUACAAACCCGAUCCAAAACAAUCGGGAGGGAGUGAAGAGAUUUCUGGAGAUGAGAAAGAUGGUCGAGGACUAUGAUCCUAUUUCCUAGGGUCAUAGCCUCGAAGGGGGGAUUUGAUGAGUACCUCUGAACUUUUCACUAGUUUUUUCCUAGGAACAGCUUUGUAUGUUUUGAAAAAGUAUUUUAUCUAACCAAGGGCAUAGAGUAGGUUGUUUAGGCUGGGGGAGAUCACUUGUUGCUUAGUUGCUUAACUGCUGGCCUCACUAGAAGGAAAAGCUGUAUCAACAAGGUCCCGGGGAAGGUUGGAAGGGGGGUUACUUGGGGGUGGAGUUGGAAAAGCGGGGUUUGCUGGGCUUGCUACACAUUUCAUCACAUCAGCAAGUUUAACCUGUUACGUAGCUAUAUAAGGCUGAUGCCCACUGGGGUGGGUGUGCUUGCUUUGCGAAUGAUUGCCAAGCACCACUUUCUGCGCAGAAAUAAAGAUUAAGUUGGAGCCUUCACCCCUGUGUGUUUAUUGGCACAAGCGCACCGGGCACGAAUUCACUGUCCUUUGGGGGCAACAAGCCCCUUCGUCCACCAGGUGUUGCUAAAAUUUUUGUGUAGUGAGUCCCCUUGUCCACCAGGUGUCAUUACAAUUUGCAGGUAUUUGCACGUAAUUUGCAGUGUAAUUUGCAGGUAUUUGUGUGUAAUGAAUGUUUUAGCACACCAGGUGUAGCUGCAGAGCCAGACAUGAAUCAAUCUUCUGCUGACCUCCUUUUCUUAUUUAAUUAAAUAAAGGGUUGGAAGAAA